AGAGUUUGAUCCUGGCUCAGAACGAACGCUGGCGGCAUGCCUAACACAUGCAAGUCGAACGAGACCUUCGGGUCUAGUGGCGCACGGGUGCGUAACGCGUGGGAAUCUGCCCUUCGGUUCGGAAUAACUCAGGGAAACUUGAGCUAAUACCGGAUAAUGACGUAAGUCCAAAGAUUUAUCGCCGAAGGAUGAGCCCGCGUAGGAUUAGCUAGUUGGUGAGGUAAAGGCUCACCAAGGCUCCGAUCCUUAGCUGGUCUGAGAGGAUGAUCAGCCACACUGGGACUGAGACACGGCCCAGACUCCUACGGGAGGCAGCAGUGGGGAAUAUUGGACAAUGGGCGAAAGCCUGAUCCAGCAAUGCCGCGUGAGUGAUGAAGGCCUUAGGGUUGUAAAGCUCUUUUACCCGGGAUGAUAAUGACAGUACCGGGAGAAUAAGCUCCGGCUAACUCCGUGCCAGCAGCCGCGGUAAUACGGAGGGAGCUAGCGUUGUUCGGAAUUACUGGGCGUAAAGCGCACGUAGGCGGCUUUGUAAGUUAGAGGUGAAAGCCCGGGGCUCAACUCCGGAACUGCCUUUAAGACUGCAUCGCUUGAAUCCGGGAGAGGUGAGUGGAAUUCCGAGUGUAGAGGUGAAAUUCGUAGAUAUUCGGAAGAACACCAGUGGCGAAGGCGGCUCACUGGACCGGUAUUGACGCUGAGGUGCGAAAGCGUGGGGGAGCAAACAGGAUUAGAUACCCUGGUAGUCCACGCCGUAAACG
rnacentral:rRNA from 1 species